rnacentral:rRNA from 1 species
AUUGAACGCUGGCGGCAGGCCUAACACAUGCAAGUCGAACGAGUGGCGGACGGGUGAGUCAUGUCUGGGAAAUUGCCUGUUGGAGGGGGAUAACUACUGGCAACGGUAGCUCAUACCGCAUACAAUCGGAUGUGCCCAGAUGGGAUUAGCUCGCAGGUGGGGUAAAGGCUCACCUAUGCGACGAUCCCUAGCUGGUCUGAGAGGAUGACAAGCCACACUGGAACUGAGACACGGUCCAGACUCAUACGGGAGGCAGCAGGGGGGAAUAUUGCACAAUGGGCGCAAGCCUGAUGCAGCCAUGCCGCGUGUAUGAAGAAGGCCUUCGGGUUGUAAAGUACUUUCAGCGGAGAGGCGUUACCCGCAGAAGAAGCACCGGCUAACUCCGUGCCAGCCGCCGCGGUAAUAC